rnacentral:rRNA from 1 species
GAUGAACGCUAGCGAUAGGCCUAACACAUGCAAGUCGAGGGGCAGCAUAGAGUAGCAAUACUUUGAUGGCGACCGGCGCACGGGUGAGUAACACGUAUGCAACCUACCUACAUCAGGGGAAUAACCCGGAGAAAUUCGGACUAAUACCGCAUAAUACAGGGAUGCCGCAUGGCAAUAUUUGUUAAAGAUUUAUCGGAUGUAGAUGGGCAUGCGUUCCAUUAGCUAGUUGGUGAGGUAACGGCUCACCAAGGCAACGAUGGAUAGGGGAACUGAGAGGUUUGUCCCCCACACUGGAACUGAGACACGGACCAGACUCCUACGGGAGGCAGCAGUGAGGAAUAUUGGUCAAUGGACGAGAGUCUGAACCAGCCAAAUCGCGUGAAGGAAGACUGCCCUACGGGUUGUAAACUUCUUUUGUACAGGAAUAAAAGACAUUACGUGUAAUGUAUUGCAUGUACUGUACGAAUAAGCAUCGGCUAACUCCGUGCCAGCAGCCGCCGCAG